rnacentral:rRNA from 1 species
UACGUAGGGUGCAAGCGUUGUCCGGAAUUAUCGGGCGUAAAGGGCUCGUAGGCGGUUUGUCGCGUCGGGAGUGAAAUCCACUGGCUUAACUGGUGGCUUGCUUUCGAUACGGGCAGACUGGAGGUAUGCAGGGGAGAACGGAAUUCCUGGUGUAGCGGUGAAAUGCGCAGAUAUCAGGAGGAACACCGGUGGCGAAGGCGGUUCUCUGGGCAUGUCCUGACGCUGAGGAGCGAAAGUGUGGGGAGCGAACAGG